UUUCGAUUUGAGUUUUGUUCUCUCUUUGUACAUUUUUUACGCUAAGCAAACAACAGAAACCGAAACAGAACAACUACGGAAUCAAGAAGGAAUUGCUAAAGUCAUAACAUCGAAUUCGUAAUGCCCUGACACAUAUUUCAAACAUAAGUUCAAAAUAUUGAGAUAAUUGAUCUUUAUCUAGUUAAGGCGAACUUCAUUCGUGUCAGUUACAACUGACAAAUUUUGGAUAUUCAAGAAAGCUGUAACUGGGCUGCACGUAUACCUCGCAAUCAUUCUGAAAAGUUCCAUUACUGACGCUUGCAAGUUAAUAAGUCCAGCUGCUAAAAAUAUGCUGUCUACAUUCUUUAUGAAAAAGUUCUCUUACCUUCAGCAGCUUGGUAAGAGCAUAAAAGUACAACGAAAAAACGCAAAAAAGGGCAGAACAGUCUGCAUAUAUGUACUAUGUGUGUGUAUCUUUGCGAUACACAAAAAACUGUGCUUCGUGUUUUUAUGUUACUCAAUUUAAUUCAGGUAAAAUAUAUUUUUUUAUCCAGGCCCGCAGCGCUCUUAAACUUUGGUCACGAACAUGAAAAAGCGUCGUUUCCGUCGAAUUGCUCGAAAAUGGUUGACGGUUGAUUGGUUCACUUUUUGGUCAGAGCCUCAGGGAGAGGCCAAGCGUCUAGACGAAUCGAGGCUCGAUUCAAAAUGGCAGCCAAACUAACUUUGAACGCUGAAUACUAAAUGUGAAUAUGCUUUGGAGCAAAUAAGUUUAUUCAGGCAAAAUAUGAAAGGAAAGCCGCAGUUACCAAAAGUAAAAGAAAUAACUUGUUUUCGUGCCCAUUCAAAUAGAGUCGACAACAAGGCUGAGAAAAAAUGUGAACAGCCAAAAUAUCAGGCAAAAACUCAAUGGAAAACUCAAAUGGCCAAAGCGAAACGGCUUAAAUAGCUGGCUAUUUCAUUUGCGGCUUUCAACAUAACCUUCAGCCCGACCGUAAAUAAAAACGUGUAUUAUAAUAGCAUUUAAAUAUGUUUGUGGUUCCAGACAUCAUUGCUUUGGCCAACUGCAUAAGUUCGCUUUUAUAUUGUUCAUUUGUGUUUCAUUUUGAAUAAGCCAACUCAUUCGAACAUUGUCAGCCCCAACGAUUGCAAUUUGUUGUACUUAUCUAGCCAAUUUAAUAUGUUGUGGUUCGUUGUUGCGCAAUGGUAAGAAACCAUUUCUACUUACUUAUGGA